GUGUCAGCCGCCGCGGUAAUACGUAGGUGGCAAGCGUUGUCCGGAUUUAUUGGGUUUAAAGGGUGCGUAGGCGGCCACUUAAGUCAGUGCUGAAAUACUCUAGCUUAACUAGAGGGGUGGCAUUGAUACUGAAUGGCUUGAGUGAAGUCGAAGUAGGCGGAAUUGACGGUGUAGCGGUGAAAUGCUUAGAUAUCGUCAAGAACACCGAUAGUGAAGACAGCUUACUAGACUUCAACUGACGCUGAGGCACGAAAGUGUGGGGAUCAAACAGGAUUAGAUACCCUGGUAGUCC
rnacentral:rRNA from 1 species